GGGGGAAUUUUGGACAAUGGGCGAAAGCCUGAUCCAGCCAUGCCGCGUGAGUGAAGAAGGCCUUCGGGUUGUAAAGCUCUUUUAGUUGGAAAGAAAGAAUUAUAGUUAAUAGCUAUAAUUUAUGACGGUACCAACAGAAAAAGCACCGGCUAACUACGUGCCAGCAGCCGCGGUAAUACGUAGGGUGCGAGCGUUAAUCGGAAUUACUGGGCGUAAAGGGUGCGCAGGCGGCCAUGCAAGUCAGAUGUGAAAGCCCCGGGCUUAACCUGGGAAUUGCGUUUGAAACUGCAAGGCUAGAGUGCAACAGAGGGGAGUGGAAUUCCAUGUGUAGCAGUGAAAUGCGUAGAGAUGUGGAAGAACACCGAUGGCGAAGGCAGCUCCCUGGGUUGACACUGACGCUCA
rnacentral:rRNA from 1 species